UGCAGCAUAUAUCUUAAUGAAGGUCACAGUGAGUCAUGAUGUAGCUUCAUGUAAAUCCCUUCCAUGGACUAUUUUUAAUGGCCAGAUAAAUUCUCCACACCUUCAGGGCUGCUGUCAGUGUGAUGACAUUGAAGAAGCCUGACUGUUGGGUGUCAGCACUGGGAGCUUGUUCCCUAAGAGGCAUCAACAAACACAUCCCUGUUAACAUGAAUUCCACAGUUUUGUGUGUGGCUGGGAGUCAGAAGAGGAUACGGUAAACUCAGGGCGCAAAAAAAGAAGACCUGUUGGUUCUUUCACAAGGAUAACAUAUCUGAGGCCAUGUAGGCAGGACGACUUCACCCAAGACCACCUUCACUGAAGAGCUCUGCUCUCACACUCUCACUAAGUGGAAACAAAUUAGCAUGCUCCUGCUUUCUCCAGCCCUCCCUGGCCACCAAGUGAUCUGUCAGACGCGACCUUGUUCUCCGUCAUCUCAACAAACUCUUUUUGUCACUGCACUCUAAAACAAUUCAAUAGGCUGCUCUGUUUCACAGUUGGGUUGCGAGAAACUGUACCUCCUAGGGCAAAAGAGAGCUUCAAAUAUUUAAUAUUUCUUUAUAUAUCUUCGUAAACUACAGUGCUGCUGAGAUAUCGUCAUCUUGCAACAAAAUGCAAAAAUGAUGUCUGUCUUUGGGGAAAUUUGGUGUUAAAGUAGUGGAAUGCGGAAAGCAUUGCUGGUGUUAUAGUACAAUUGUGAAGGGUAAUCUUACUUUAUGUGUGUGCCUCAUACUGAAGAACAGGCCAAUGUAAGUUUAAAAAUAAUUCAAAAGUACAGCUGCAUGCUCAAGGGUUCCUCUAAAAAUUCGGAGACCCCUGAAAACAACAAAAAUAGCAAAUGUCUGCAUUUCCUGGCAUUUUCGAAGGCCUGUGUGCACUGUAGCCCUUGAAUCAUUCUGUGUUUUCCCUGCUAUUCAGCCCCCCUGCCUGCAGCACAUUUUUUCUGACAAUGAAUAGGCCUGAUCUCUCUUUAUUCUAACUAUCUGGA